GGGCUCGUGGCUCAGCUUGGUAGAGCAACAGACUCUUAAUCUGUGGGUCCUGAGUUCGAGCCUCAGCGGGGUCA
rnacentral:tRNA from 1 species